rnacentral:misc_RNA from 1 species
ACUCUUUAGCUUGCAUGCCUUCAAGCAAAAUCAUCCAAAUGAAGAAUUCAUGGAGCUAUCACAGGAGGCAAUAACCUAUGCUGAUGGCAAUCCAUUAGCUCUUAAAGUUUUGGGAUCUCAUUUAUUUCGUAGGACGAUAGAAGAAUGGGAAAGCGAAUUGGAAAAAUUGAAAGGCAAAUCUCUUAAAAAAAUUGAAGAUGUUUUGAAAAGAAGUUAUGAUGGGCUAGAAAAGAAUGAACAGGAAAUAUUUCUUGAUAUUGCAUGUUUCUUCAAAGGGGAAGAUAAAGAUGAGGUUGAGAGAAAAUUAAAAGCAUUUGGUUUCUAUCCAGAAAGUGGAAUACCUCGUCUAAUUGAGAAGUCUCUGAUAACUAUUUCAAACAAUAGGGUAGAUAUGCAUGACUUGCUAGAGCAAAUGGGCAAGGAUAUUGUUAAUGAGGAAUGCAAACAGCCUGGCGGACGCAGCAGGUUGUGGAAUUAUGAAGAUAUUAGUCAUGCACUGACAACAGGGACGGGAACCGAAAAUGUUGAGGCCAUAUCGUUUCGUCCGGUUUGGAAGCCUUUGAAGCUAAGUGCCACGGCCUUUGCGAAGAUGUGCAAUCUUAGAUUCAUCCAAUUAUAUGAAAUGUGGAACAAAGUGCUCCUUCCUAAGAACUUUGAAUUUUGUGCACAAGCACUAAGAUGUCUUUACUGGGAUUCUUAUCCUCUGGAAUCUUUGCCGUUAAAUUUUUGGCCAAAGAAUCUUGUAGAACUUCACAUGCCUUUUAACAAGCUCAUACAACUGUGGAAUGGAGGAGAUAAGCCUCUUGAAAAUUUGAAAUUAAUGGACCUCAGCUUCUCUCAUCAACUGAUCAGUAUUCCAGACUUGUCUAGUAUUGCCCCAAAUCUCGAGUUUUUAUAUUUGAAUGGCUGUUAUAGGUUGGCUGAAUUCCCUCUCUUCAAAAUCUAAGUAAUCUUGUAGAACUUCGA